rnacentral:rRNA from 1 species
GCAAGUCGAGGGGUAAGGUUUACUUCGGUAAACACACGACCGGCGCACGGGUGCGUAACGCGUAUGUAACUUACCUACAACUGGAGAAUAGCCCCGAGAAAUCGGGAUUAAUAAUCCAUAACGAUAUUUUGAGACAUCUCUUUAUAUUUAAAGUUCCGGCGGUUAUAGAUGGGCAUGCGUGACAUUAGUUUGUUGGUGAGGUAACGGCUCACCAAGACUUCGAUGUCUAGGGGUUCUGAGAGGAUGGUC